rnacentral:rRNA from 1 species
GAUUAAGUUAUUAAGGGCGCACGGUGGAAUGCCUUGGCACUAGAAGCCGAUGAAGGACGUUACUAACGACGAUAUGCUUUGGGGAGCUGUAAGUAAGCUUUGAUCCAGAGAUUUCCGAAUGGGGAAACCCAGCAUGAGUUAUGUCAUGUUAUCGAUAUGUGAAUACAUAGCAUAUCAGAAGGCACACCCGGAGAACUGAAACAUCUUAGUACCCGGAGGAAGAGAAAGAAAAUUCGAUUCCCUUAGUAGCGGCGAGCGAAACGGGAAGAGCCCAAACCAACAAGCUUGCUUGUUGGGGUUGUAGGACACUCUAUACGGAGUUACAAAGGACGACAUUAGACGAAUCAUCUGGAAAGAUGAAUCAAAGAAGGUAAUAAUCCUGUAGUCGAAAAUGUUGUCUCUCUUGAGUGGAUCCUGAGUACGACGGAGCACGUGAAAUUCCGUCGGAAUCUGGGAGGACCAUCUCCUAAGGCUAAAUACUCUCUAGUGACCGAUAGUGAACCAGUACCGUGAGGGAAAGGUGAAAAGCACCCCGGAAGGGGAGUGAAAUAGAACCUGAAACCGUGUGCUUACAAGUAGUCAGAGCCCGUUAAUGGGUGAUGGCGUGCCUUUUGUAGAAUGAACCGGCGAGUUACGAUUUGAUGCAAGGUUAAGCAGUAAAUGUGGAGCCGUAGCGAAAGCGAGUCUGAAUAGGGCGUUUAGUAUUUGGUCGUAGACCCGAAACCAGGUGAUCUACCCUUGGUCAGGUUGAAGUUCAGGUAACACUGAAUGGAGGACCGAACCGACUUACGUUGAAAAGUGAGCGGAUGAACUGAGGGUAGCGGAGAAAUUCCAAUCGAACCUGGAGAUAGCUGGUUCUCUCCGAAAUAGCUUUAGGGCUAGCCUCAAGUGAUGAUUAUUGGAGGUAGAGCACUGUUUGGACGAGGGGCCCCUCUCGGGUUACCGAAUUCAGACAAACUCCGAAUGCCAAUUAAUUUAACUUGGGAGUCAGAACAUGGGUGAUAAGGUCCGUGUUCGAAAGGGAAACAGCCCAGACCACCAGCUAAGGUCCCAAAAUAUAUGUUAAGUGGAAAAGGAUGUGGCGUUGCCCAGACAACUAGGAUGUUGGCUUAGAAGCAGCCAUCAUUUAAAGAGUGCGUAAUAGCUCACUAGUCGAGUGACACUGCGCCGAAAAUGUACCGGGGCUAAACAUAUUACCGAAGCUGUGGAUUGUCCUUUGGACAAUGGUAGGAGAGCGUUCUAAGGGCGUUGAAGCAUGAUCGUAAGGACAUGUGGAGCGCUUAGAAGUGAGAAUGCCGGUGUGAGUAGCGAAAGACGGGUGAGAAUCCCGUCCACCGAUUGACUAAGGUUUCCAGAGGAAGGCUCGUCCGCUCUGGGUUAGUCGGGUCCUAAGCUGAGGCCGACAGGCGUAGGCGAUGGAUAACAGGUUGAUAUUCCUGUACCACCUAUAAUCGUUUUAAUCGAUGGGGGGACGCAGUAGGAUAGGCGAAGCGUGCGAUUGGAUUGCACGUCUAAGCAGUAAGGCUGAGUAUUAGGCAAAUCCGGUACUCGUUAAGGCUGAGCUGUGAUGGGGAGAAGACAUUGUGUCUUCGAGUCGUUGAUUUCACACUGCCGAGAAAAGCCUCUAGAUAGAAAAUAGGUGCCCGUACCGCAAACCGACACAGGUAGUCAAGAUGAGAAUUCUAAGGUGAGCGAGCGAACUCUCGUUAAGGAACUCGGCAAAAUGACCCCGUAACUUCGGGAGAAGGGGUGCUCUUUAGGGUUAACGCCCAGAAGAGCCGCAGUGAAUAGGCCCAAGCGACUGUUUAUCAAAAACACAGGUCUCUGCUAAACCGUAAGGUGAUGUAUAGGGGCUGACGCCUGCCCGGUGCUGGAAGGUUAAGAGGAGUGGUUAGCUUCUGCGAAGCUACGAAUCGAAGCCCCAGUAAACGGCGGCCGUAACUAUAACGGUCCUAAGGUAGCGAAAUUCCUUGUCGGGUAAGUUCCGACCCGCACGAAAGGCGUAACGAUUUGGGCACUGUCUCAACGAGAGACUCGGUGAAAUCAUAGUACCUGUGAAGAUGCAGGUUACCCGCGACAGGACGGAAAGACCCCGUGGAGCUUUACUGUAGCCUGAUAUUGAAAUUCGGCACAGCUUGUACAGGAUAGGUAGGAGCCUUUGAAACGUGAGCGCUAGCUUACGUGGAGGCGCUGGUGGGAUACUACCCUAGCUGUGUUGGCUUUCUAACCCGCACCACUUAUCGUGGUGGGAGACAGUGUCAGGCGGGCAGUUUGACUGGGGCGGUCGCCUCCUAAAAGGUAACGGAGGCGCUCAAAGGUUCCCUCAGAAUGGUUGGAAAUCAUUCAUAGAGUGUAAAGGCAUAAGGGAGCUUGACUGCGAGACCUACAAGUCGAGCAGGGUCGAAAGACGGACUUAGUGAUCCGGUGGUUCCGCAUGGAAGGGCCAUCGCUCAACGGAUAAAAGCUACCCCGGGGAUAACAGGCUUAUCUCCCCCAAGAGUUCACAUCGACGGGGAGGUUUGGCACCUCGAUGUCGGCUCAUCGCAUCCUGGGGCUGUAGUCGGUCCCAAGGGUUGGGCUGUUCGCCCAUUAAAGCGGUACGCGAGCUGGGUUCAGAACGUCGUGAGACAGUUCGGUCCCUAUCCGUCGUGGGCGUAGGAAAUUUGAGAGGAGCUGUCCUUAGUACGAGAGGACCGGGAUGGACAUACCUCUGGUGUACCAGUUGUCGUGCCAACGGCAUAGCUGGGUAGCUAUGUGUGGACGGGAUAAGUGCUGAAAGCAUCUAAGCAUGAAGCCCCCCUCAAGAUGAGAUUUCCCAACUUCGGUUAUAAGAUCCCUCAAAGAUGAUGAGGUUAAUAGGUUCGAGGUGGAAGCAUGGUGACAUGUGGAGCUGACGAAUACUAAUCGAUCGAAGACUUAAUCAA